ensembl:miRNA
UUUGCUCCCUGUCCCUUUGGCAUCCCUGUCUUAAGCAGCAGCCCUUUUUCCACCAAGGAGAUAUGGGUGGAAGAGGAGCUGCAGUUGGGAGUGGG